AUAAGCUAAGAGACGAGAGAGGGAGAGCCGACUAAUAUUCAUCAUUCGCUCUUCUCUCGCGAAAAUCAACAGUUACAUAUUCUGUUUGCCGACGUCUCGCUUCGCCGCUCGGCGCUAUCGGGCGCCCUUUGAUCCUCGCGAUGAAUAUCGUCCGUUUGCGUCGACAAUUACGAAUUGAGUAAUGAGAUGAAAUACGUGGUGCCGACGACUCGUUCACGAUCAACGUAGAAUCAAGCAGUUGAAUUCACUCGCAAUCAAGUUCGCGAUAUACAUAUUCGAUGAAAAUUAUCAUAUCUUAAUGUGUACAAGUCAUGUGCGUUUUGCACUUUCGUAAAGUAUUCUAAGAUAUUAGAUGAUAUAAUAUAUACCUCAUUCUUGACACGCGGAUAAUCUUUGCCCUUCACGCGACUCUCACAAUGAACAAAGAGAGAAUGGAUAAUGCUUGACCAUUUGCACAUACCAGCUGUACAUUACUCGCCUCAAAAGCACCUCUGUUACCACUGAAAGCGCCCUUCGAGGCUAUUUGCCAAAUGAUUUCCCGCUCGAGAUACUCGUCUGUUUGCUGCAUGCUGCAUACUCACCAUAACUGUAAUGCAGCAUUUGGGAAAGGUUGUGUAUCCGUCUCUUUCCAAGGAUACUUUGAUGACGAGAUGAUCAUCUCUAUCAUCAUUUUACAGCCCAUGCAUUGCAAAACAGUUGUGAUCGGACUAACAACUGUAUAACAAGAAGCGUAAAUGUAAGCAUACGAAAUACUGAAAUAUUAAAAUCAUAAUAAACAUGUUUUUUAAUUAUCUUAA